GGGCCCGUAGUCGAGCCAGGAUUAAGACACAGAGAAAAUCAAAUCGUGUAUGCCUUCGGAGCUUAUGCGGUGAAAGCCUGGGAUCCGGGGUUCGAAUCCCCGCGGGCCCGCCA
rnacentral:tRNA from 1 species